GGGGAUAGAGCUCAGUGGUAGAGCGCAUGCUUGGCAUGCACAAGGGCCUGGGUUUAGUCCCCGGUACCUCCA
rnacentral:tRNA from 1 species